rnacentral:rRNA from 1 species
AUUGAACGCUGGCGGCAUGCUUUACACAUGCAAGUCGAACGGUAACAGGGAGCUUGCUCCGCUGACGAGUGGCGAACGGGUGAGUAAUGCGUCGGAACGUGCCGAGUAGUGGGGGAUAACGCAUCGAAAGGUGUGCUAAUACCGCAUACGUACUGAGGUAGAAAGUGGGGGACCUUCGGGCCUCACGAGAUUCGAGCGGCCGCCGUCUGAUUGGCUAGUUGGCGAGGUAAAGGCUCACCAAGGCGACGAUCAGUAGCGGGUCAGAGAGGAUGAUCCGCCACAGUGGGACUGAGACACGGCCCAGACUCCUACGGGAGGAAGGAGUGGGGAAUUUUGGACAAUGGGCGCAAGCCUGAUCCAGCCAUGCCGCGUGUCUGAAGAAGGCCUUCGGGUUGUAAAGGACUUUUGUCCGGGAGCAAAUGCCUGGUGUUAAUAGCACUGGGAGCUGAGAGUACCGGAAGAAUAAGCACCGGCUAACUACGUGCCAGCAGCCGCGGUAAGAC